rnacentral:rRNA from 1 species
UGCCAGCAGCCGCGGUAACACGGGGGGCGCAAGCGUUAUUCGGAAUUAUUGGGCGUAAAGGGCGCGUAGGCGGCUUCUUAAGUCGGGGGUGAAAUCCAGUGGCUCAACCACUGGCCUGCCCCCGAUACUGAGAAACUUGAGUCCGUGAGAGGAAAGCGGAAUUCCUGGUGUAUCGGUGAAAUGAGUUGAUAUCAGGAGGAACACCGGUGGCGAAGGCGGCUUUCUGGUGCGGUACUGACGCUGAGGUGCGAAAGCAUGGGGAGCAAACGGGAUUAGAUA